GUUUUUAUUAGAAGCAAUUAGUACACAUAUUUUUUUUUAUUGAUUUCAGUUUUAAAAUGAACAUGGGAUUAAUUGGUGCAAAUGAAGUUAUUAGCAAACUCGUACGUGUUUCAGCUACAUCAUUUGAAUUUUUUAAGCUUUAGCAGAAAAUUAAAACAAAACAAAAACAAUCGAAAAAUGUAUUAAUACCUACAUUGAAAUUUCCACAACUUAUAACGUAUUAACUUUAUGUGACAACCCGUUAUGUAUCAGUCAUUUUGUUAAUUAAUACAUUUAUUCUAGGCGAUUCAAAUGAAAGUAAAAUAAACUGACUAAUUGUCAAAGGCUCCUCCCAAUCAAACAAUCAACUAUUAGCAAAUACAUGUACUGUAACCUAAAUCCAUGUUCUUCUACAUCAAAAGUAACUGAUCGAGUUUGAAAUGUGUCCGUUUAACACAGCCUUGACAGAAUAAUCACAUGUUUUAAUCAGUUUUAAAAAGGGAAUUCAAUGUUGCGUAUAAUAUUUUUUCUACAUCUAUGUAUGUAUUCAUUCAUAAAGAUAACCAUCAUCUUCUGAAUCUCAUUCUCCCUAUUUCCGGUGCUUUAAAUUUGAAAAAUCUAGUCUACAUCAAAAUCCUUAUAUACUUUUUACAUACAGGAACGCAUUAAACCCGGCAAUUCUAUAUCAACAAAUGAUCUAUCUCGAUGCUCACAAUUAAAUGACAAAGCACAAUAUAAUGUUUUUGAUUGAACAGAUGAAAGUGUUUCUUGAACUUGUACCUUUCUUGCAUUACAGAAGCCAAGCUUUUAUUUUUAGGGGUUAAACGUCCAUCAAUACUGGAACAAAGUGAAGGUUCAUAAACAGAUGUCUACGGGCUUGUUAGCUGACAUCAGAUGAUAUAAAAACAACAAUACGUAAAAUACAAACAUUAUAUAAUAGAAAUAGUAUAAAAGGACGAACAACCAGAGCGUAAGACUAUUUUUGAAAUCAAUGCAUUUUUUUUUUAAUGAAUAGAGUUUACGGCCAUGCAUAUAACGGAUGGUUUAUAAUUACCUAUGAUGAGGGCUUAUUAUUAUAUCAGUAUGGCCAUUUGUUGCACGCAACGUGAUACGUUUAGUCAUCAACAUAAGAGUCCACAUAUAAACAAAAUAAAAUUAGAUUGUUACCCGCCUCUUGACUUAAAAAGACUGUAGUUUCUUACAUCAUCGUCAUUUGGUCUCUGUCUCAUUGGCACAUCUACUCAUUUUAUUACAUUUGACACAUUUUUAUUCGAUUGGUGAAAAAUGCGGGAACACGACGUGGAAAUCAACAUUUUUUUUUCAAAAAGAACGAAAUACGGAAGUAUGUGAACAAGGCAUGUGGUCCUGAAGAAACAUUCUUAUGAUACUUGUCGACUUUUUAACAAGUUGAAGAUAUUCUGUCUUAUUUAUAACUGUAGCCUUCUUGUUUGCUAUUCAAAAGGUUUAUCAAUGUUGAUCUAUUGUGAAUCUGUAUUAUUUUAUGUUGUAUCACUACAUGCACUAUAUCAUUUAUAUUUUACGCAAAACAUUCAUGAUCCUAGUAAACACAUGUAUCGUUAUUGGAAUAAUUUUCCUUUUAACAUACUUUGAAAAACUUUGUGUAAAUAACCCCCUCAUAGAUACCAAAACUAAAUUGCGUACGCCUGACGCGCGUUUUGUCUGCAUCGUUGACACUCGAAUCAAAAAUAUUGAAAAGGCAAAAUCAAGUUUUGUUCAUAUUCUUUAAAGUUUAUUUACAUGUUUCACUCUCAAACUUUACUCUUACUCGUAAGGCGGGUAUUAUCAAAAUUAUAUUUUCAUUUAAUGUUUAGGUAGGUUGAUACAUAACCAGCAACUAGCUCUCAUCGAAAAAUCAACUUGGUGUAAAUUUCUGGGUAAGUUGAUUGUUUUGUUUUUUUUUUAUUGUUGAUGUGUUAAUACUUUUGUUUAACGUGCAAGGUAAUAUUACUAAUAGAACGUACCAUAGAAAUUCACAUAAAUUGAAAACAAUAUUACCAGAACCAAUCAAAAAUAUGUGCAAUGAUAGGAAAAUAUUAAAUAUCUUUCUUGUUAACAGUAACACGGACCAAACCGUCUUUCUCUAAUUUUUUUCUUACUGCCAAAAAAAAAAACACUGCAGCUGUAGAUUGCAAAUAUGUUUUGUAAUUUUCCGUCAGUAAUUAUUACGGCAAGGUUCAUUAAGGUCUUUCCUUUUUCUAUAAGGAAAGACCUUACUGUAUUUCUUCUGAUUAUUAUCAUUAUUCUUUCCGCCAAACUUCAAAAAGUACGCGAUAUGUUGAAAUGAUAUUAGGUAUCUAGUAUCGGUUAACCAAAAGCUAUCAUGUGGUGAGGGCACGACCCCGUAGCAUUUCCUUUAUAGCGGUAUCUCCCCUAACACUGAAAACCUUGUUAUCAUUCUAACUCCAUAACCUUAAUAGGUAAAAAAAAAACAAAGGGUGGAAUUUGUUCAGGAACAGACCCUUGUUAUUCGUUACGUUUGGAUCGAAAAGAUUCAACGACUCAUUGGAAGGGUUAUGCCCCUUUGAAAAUUAACCAAUGUCGGUUGGCGACUGAAACUCAGAAACCGUAAGUUGUAGCUACCUAGGAUCAUCCCUAAUGAUCAUCAAUUCACGCGACCAUGAAAAUUGACCUAAGGUCAAAGGUCAAGGUCAUGACCUAGAUUUUGACCUUAGCUUGUUAUCGGAUUUACUCAAUAAUAGAUGGCUGAUGAAUUGUAACGGAGAAAAUGUUAGUGUCGUCACAGAUCUACAUUUGUUCUGUGGGUUCAAAAUUAUUGGACCAACGGUUAUGGAACUAGGGCACCAAAACUGUUUCUGGGGUCCGAAAUGAUGAUUGUUUGCUUAUAACUCAAAAGUGGUUAGAGAUAGAAUGAAACUUUGAAUUGCAAAAAUGUUUAGCAUAAUAAGAUCUACAAAGUUAGGUCAAGGUCAGAGGUCAAGUCCCUUACAACGACAUUAAACACCUUAGCAACCAUAUAUUUUUGAACUUAGAAGGCUAUGAAUAAUAUAAAUAUGUAAUUUUUAAUACUGGAAAUGACAUUUUUGUCCCAAGCAACGACAUAUCAGUCCUUAGCAAUCACUUGUUUUUUUAACUUUAAAUACUAUGAACAGUACAUAUGACAUUUUUAAUACUGGUAGUAAUAUUUUUAUUCUUAGGAAUGAUUUUUUUAGAAACCAUAUAUUUUUUAACUAAGAAGGCAAUUAAUAAAAGAAAAAAGGAAAGACCUUGCAAUUGUUCAUGAACAAUUGACUUUUUAAUUAUUACAAAUUGUUAUACAGGAGGUUUAUUUUGAUAAAGUUUUAACAUUUUCUGAAUAUUACGCUUGUAACCACCGAUCAUGAAGCUAAAAAACUUUUAUCUGCUUCUUAACAAAUGCAUAAUUCAAACUUUUAUACACGACUUAUGAGGUUCUAUGUGCACUUCCGAAUUCCAGCAUAGACUAUUGUUUAUCAAACUCAUACAGUUAUCUAGAACUUGUGUUGUCGCCUUUAUUCAGACUCGGUAAAUAUAUAGCCACGUCAGAUUUUUAGGCACACAAUCAUGGCGUAUGUUCAGAUUUGGGGGGAGGGGGAGAUGAAUUCAAUUUCAUCAUAAGAACCCAAAGACAAUAAUGAUUGAAAAGCACACUCUACAAUGUCUAUUGUUCUAGACGUCAUCUGUCAUUCUUUGUGUUAAAGGCAACAUGUCAUAGUAUUGCAACUGUCAUAACCUUAAAGAAUUACAAGUGGAGCAUUGCCUUUGUCAUUGUUUAUCGGGUGUAGAUGUGGUGUUUUUGGUGUUAACGCAGCUCUUGUUGUACUUUACCAUUAAUCUCAUGUUUAUGUGAACCUUUUUUGAUGCAUUUGUGUCUAAUAUUUUUGGAAGGUUUCAGUCAGCAAAUCAUAUUCCUUCGCGUUGCUUUAUAUGAGUUGGACUAAGAAUACUGCGGUCGUAGUUCGUAGAACUUAUAGAUGUUUGCAUAUCAUCCUUAACACUGCUAGAAAUAAGCCAGAAAGAAAACCUGUUUCUAAAAUUAAGUAUAAUCAUCUGGAGAUAAAGAAUAUGGGAGGAACAGUAGAAGGAAUUAUAGAUUAACUUAAUGUGACCGUUGAAGAAGAGAACUUGAUUCUGGGUGAUGAUGCUGAUACAAAAUUGUUGCAUCUAAUGAAGCUUACAAAGUCGCAUUUGAGACAAAGUUCGACAUAAAAUCUUGUUAUUAAUUAUUAUUAUUAAUACGAACCAUACUUAACCUAUCUACUUGAGUAACAAUAGUUAGGUAGUUAAGAACUUUUGAGCAGCCUUAUGGUAAACAUCACGGAAUACAGUAAAUAUCUCAUCAUGAAAUUUUCAAAUUUUACGUCAAUUAAAGACUUAUCCUGUAAUCCUAUUAAACGUAAUUGUGAUACUCAAUAUCUUUUACAGAAAACGUAUGACAAAGUUGGAAGUGCUGUUUUGAAAGACUGAGGAAACAAGACGUAUUUAACAAAGAGAACCAGCGCUACAACCUUGGCAGAUUUCAAAUGAACGUGGAACACUUUACACAAUCAAAGUUUCAAUCGUCUGACAAAAAUGAAUUAACGUCCUGAAAAAAACUACAGUAGAAAAUUCAUCAGAACAUUAAGACCUUUAAGUUAGUACUUUGGAAUGUUAUACUUUCAUUAUCUGUUAUACUUUUAUUAUCUGUAAUACCUUCAUUAUCUGUUGUCCAUUCGUUUGAUGUGUUUUAUCAUUUGAUUUUGUCAUUUGAUAAGGG
rnacentral:lncRNA from 1 species